rnacentral:rRNA from 1 species
GACGAACGCUGGCGGCGUGCUUAACACAUGCAAGUCGAACGGAAAGGCCCUGCUUUUGUGGGGUGCUCGAGUGGCGAACGGGUGAGUAACACGUGAGUAACCUGCCCUUGACUUUGGGAUAAUUUCAGGAAACUGGGGCUAAUACCGGAUAGGAGCUCCUGCUGCAUGGUGGGGGUUGGAAAGUUUCGGCGGUUGGGGAUGGACUCGCGGCUUAUCAGCUUGUUGGUGGGGUAGUGGCUUACCAAGGCUUUGACGGGUAGCCGGCCUGAGAGGGUGACCGGCCACAUUGGGACUGAGAUACGGCCCAGACUCCUACGGGAGGCAGCAGUGGGGAAUAUUGCACAAUGGGCGGAAGCCUGAUGCAGCAACGCCGCGGGCGGGAUGACGGCCUUCGGGUUGUAAACCGCUUUCGCCUGUGACGAAGCGUGAGUGACGGUAAUGGGUAAAGAAGCACCGGCUAACUACGUGC